rnacentral:rRNA from 1 species
AUACGUAGGGGGCGAGCGUUGUCCGGAAUGAUUGGGCGUAAAGGGCGCGUAGGCGGCCCGGUAAGUCUGGAGUGAAAGUCCUGUUUUUAAGAUGGGAAUUGCUUUGGAUACUGUCGGGCUUGAGUGCAGGAGAGGUAAGUGGAAUUCCCAGUGUAGCGGUGAAAUGCGUAGAGAUUGGGAGGAACACCAGUGGCGAAGGCGACUUACUGGACUGUAACUGACGCUGAGGCGCGAAAGUGUGGGGAGCAAACAGGAUUAGAUACCCUGGUAGUCCACACUAUAAACGAUGAAUGCUAGGUGUAAGAGGUAUCGACCCCUUUUGUGCCGGAGUCAACACAAUAAGCAUUCCGCCUGGGGAGUACGGCCGCAAGGUUGAAACUCAAAUGAAUUGACGGGG